CAUUUCCUUCACUCAAUGUCUUUGGCGCCGCGAAUAUUUGUUUGGAAAGUGUCGUUGCCUCAGAACCCGCAUACGAUACUUAUUUAAUUGCGCUGUAGUUUUAAUAGAAAGGACAGUUAUAUUAACCGUAUGUUAGUGUUUUCAUUUUUGCCUCUCCUGGGCACAUCUUUUAAUGUGAAAUACAGUUGAUGUUGAACUAAUCAUCAUUACUUUAAUGCAAAUGAACGCACCUCUCUAACCUUAAUCGGAAUGAAAAUGGAUCGGAUUAAAUUGAAGAACGCAAAGGUGACAACGGGGGGCCAGAGGGACCUCUUGUCCUUCUUCUCCACGGGCAAACAGAAGGUCUCAAAGUCUACCGUCAAACAGUCGUCCACCAAGACCGAAGCCUGGAGCAGACCCAGUCUACCCCUCCCCGUCCUCUCCCCCAUCAAGAGGAGCGUCCUGGCAGUUGUGGAAAACAUUCUACCCCUCUCUCCAGAUCUCCUUCUGGCCAUCCCCGAGACCCCCGACAGCCAAAUCAGGCCCUCCUCAGCCAGAGUCCCUGGCCCGAGCCCCAACCCCAGCGCCGAGGCAUCCAGUCUGGGGGGGUCCCCUCUUUGUCGAAGCCCCAGCUCCAGACGAGUGGACAUGCGGCGGAAAAUGAGACUGGACGGAGAGCGGGAGAACCUGUCCGAGGAGGCGGUGGGAUCGGGGAAGCGGCUCUUCAGUCCAGAAGACUCCCACGCCGCCAAGAGGCCCAGAACUGGCGACGUACCAGCGAUCCACCGCUGGGCCGGAAGCAAAGCCUCCACCCCCGUUGAAACCCUACCUGCCAAGCAAUGCCUUACCGAAGGCCGCUUUGAGACGGAGGGGCCAGAAAGGAUUCAAAGUUCAGAGCUCUCCUCUCGCAGAUCUAACCAGGUGACCCUGAUCGGUGUUCAGCAGAACACCGUGGCCUCGCCAACGCCCCUCUCUGAGAUGGGCGGUCUUCCCCGAGAGGAGUCUGUGUUUACGCUCAUCAUGGAUCAGAGGGACACCAACCCGGCGGAGGUCGGCGCGCUGGCGCCCUCACCGCAGCGGACCAUGCGCGCUCCCAGCACGGCAGGUGGUGCAGACGGAGCUAAC
ensembl:lncRNA